rnacentral:rRNA from 1 species
GACGAACGCUGGCGGCGUGCCUAACACAUGCAAGUCGAACGGAGUAAGAGGAGAGCUUGCUUUCCUCUUGCUUAGUGGCGGACGGGUGAGUAACACGUGAGCAACCUGCCUUUCUGUGGGGGACAACACAGGGAAACCUGUGCUAAUACCCCAUGAUAUAUCCUUCUCGCAUGGGAGGGAUAUCAAAGGAGCAAUCCGCAGAGAGAUGGGCUCGCGUCCGAUUAGGUAGUUGGUAGGGUAACGGCCUACCAAGCCCACGAUCGGUAGCCGGACUGAGAGGUCGAACGGCCACAUUGGGACUGAGACACGGCCCAGACUCCUACGGGAGGCAGCAGUGGGGGAUAUUGCGCAAUGGGGGAAACCCUGACGCAGCAACGCCGCGUGAAGGAAGACGGCUUUCGGGUUGUAAACUUCAGCAAGCAGGGACGAAUAAAUAGACGGUACCUGAAACAAAAGCCAACGGCUAACGUACGUCGCCAGCACGCCGACGGUAAAAGUGUAGUGUA